GACGAACGCUGGCGGCGCGCUUAACACAUGCAAGUCGAACGGAAAGGCCUGCUUUCCCUUGUGGAUUGCGGGUACUCGAGUGGCGAACGGGUGAGUAACACGUGAGUGAUCUGCCCCCAACUUGGGUAUAAGCCUGGGAAACUGGGUCUAAUUCCCGAUAGGACUGCAGGGUGGUGCCUGUGGUGGAAAACGAUCUUCUAGUGGUUGGGGAUGAGCUCGCGGCCUAUCAGCUUGUUGGGGGGGUAAUGGCCUACCAAGGCGGCGACGGGUAGCCGGCCUGGGAGGGUGGACGGCCAGAUUGGGACUGAGAUGCGGCCCAGACUCCUACGGGAGGCAGCAGUGGGGAAUAUUGCACAAUGGGCGGAAGCCUGAUGCAGCGACGCCGCGUGGGGGAUGACGGCCUUCGGGUUGUAAACUCCUUUCGACCGCGAGGAAGCCACCUGGUUGGAAGGGUGGUGACGGUAGUGGUAGAAGAAGCACCGGCUAACUACGUG
rnacentral:rRNA from 1 species